GGUUAUUUCCUCCAUAAUAGAAGUGAUAGAUUUGUGUUUGUCGUCGAAAGUGUGAUUAUGCUGGCGAUGAUGGUGGUAGUGAUGACUGACGUAAAAUAUUAAGUCAUCGUUACGUUUUAGGUUGUAUGCGUUGCAUACGUGAUGGAAAUCCAUAGCCAUGAUAGCUUCGAGAGAGAAGUGAAUCCUCCGUCAACGUGUCAUAUCCAUCGUGCACUCAAGCCAUAUUCGGUUUCAUCGCCACUGUUUUGAUCACUAUGUCAAGGACUCAACGAGUCAACGUUGCCGUUGUUUGUUUCACUUCCAUCGAUGAAGUGAUAGACAGAGGUGGAGAGGAAGAGAUAUGGGAAAAGAAUUAGAGAAGAAAGAAGAAGAGUAAAAGAAAAUUGGGAAUGUCUUAUCGUUUAGUUUGAAUUUAAUCUCUUACGUAACAGAUUUAGAGAACAAGCAUAUCUAAGGUGAUUAAUGUCUUAUCGUUUUGCGAGUUUUUUGAUAUAUGAAGUAUUUUUGUAUAUGCUUAUUAUUUUGGUAUGUAUCAUAUUUUUCUCCUCUCUUCUCCUUC